UCGAACAGACUAAUGGUAUAGUGAUGGUAGAAAACAUCAAAUGUUUGAAACUCUGUGAAUUUAUCAAACCGCUUUCAAAACCUCCUGUCCCUCUCGGAUGCUGUUAGGGCGCCAAGCCGUGAUGCUGCGAACUGGCAAAUAGGGGGAGGUAGAAAGCACGUGUCCCGGCUUUCCUGCGGGAACUUUCUCACCCAGCCGAGCAGCUCACGGGAGAAAGCUCUUUCCAGAGGAUCUCCAGCGAGUAAACGCAGAAGGAGUGAUGGGAUCCGAAGAUCACCGUUUUGCAAACCUUCAGGAAACGCCAGAGGGGGAGGUCUGGACACCGUGUGGAGACAGCUGUGGGAUGCAUCUGCACACUGAGGAGCCAUGAUGGCUGUGGGACGCCCAGAAGCUGGGGGAGGCCUGGAGCAGCCUCUCCCUUACAGCCUCAGGGGGAAUCAGCCUGCUGUGAGAUAAUAAAUGUCUGUUGUUUAAGCCCCCAGUGUGUGGUGGCUUAUUGUGACAGACCUAGCAAACUGUGCACACAGACACAGGCACACAGGCAAAGGCACAGGCACACAGACACAGGUACACAGGCACAGGCACAUAGGCACAUACACAGAGGCCCAGACACACAGACACAGGCACACAGACACACAGGCACACAGGCAUAGGCACACAGGCACACAGGCACAUACACAGAGGCCCAGACACACAGACACAGGCACACAGACACACAGGCACACAGGCAUAGGCACACAGGCACACAGGCACAUACACACAGGUACAUAUACACAGGCACAGGCACACAGGCCCAAACACACAGAC
rnacentral:lncRNA from 1 species